UGACGAGGUCACACGACGCAUCAAGCAGU
rnacentral:piRNA from 1 species